GAUGAACGCUGGCGGCGUGCCUAAUACAUGCAAGUCGAGCGAAGAGGGGACGCGUGAGUAACACGUGGAUAACCUCCUAUACAACUGGGAUAACUUCGGGAAACCGGAGCUAAACCGGAUAAUUAUAGAUGGAUCCGUGCUGCAUUAGCUGGGUGGUAAGGUAACGGAUUACCAAGGCAACGAUGCAUAGCCGACCUGAGAGGGUGAUCGGCCACACGUGAACUGAGAAACGGCCCAGACUCCGACGUGAGGCAGCAGUAGGGAAUCUUCCGCAAUGGGCGAAAGCCUGACGGAGCAACGCAGCGUGAGUGAUGAAGGCCUUCGGAUCGUAAAGUGCUGUUAUUAGGGAAGCGGUACCUAAACAGAAAGCCACGGCUAACUACGUGCCAGCAGCCGCGGUAAUAC
rnacentral:rRNA from 1 species